CCUGGCUCAUGAUAAACGCUGUGCGGCGCACAUAAGACAUGCAAGCCGAACGAACUUAACUCAUUCUUUACGAUUGAGAGCGGUUAGUGGCGGACUGGUGAGUAACACGUAAGCAACCUGCCUAUUAGAGGGGAAUAACAGUGAGAAAUCAUAGCUAAUACCGCAUAUGCUCACAGUACCACAUGGUACAGUGAGGAAAGGAGCAAUCCGCUAAUAGAUGGGCUUGCGUCUGAUUAACUACUUGGUGGGGUAAUGGCCUACCAAGGCGACGAUCAGUAGCCGGACUGAGAGGUUGAACGGCCACAUUGGGACUGAGAUACGGCCCAGACUCCUACGGGAGGCAGCAGUCGGGAAUAUAGCGCAAUGGAGGAAACUCUGACGCAGUGACGCCGCGUAUAGGAAGAAGGUCUUCGGAUUGUAAACUAUUGUCGUUAGGGAACAUACGAGACAGUACCUACGGAGGAAGCCCCGGGUAACUAUGUGCCAGCAGCCGCGGUAAUACAUAGGGGGCAAGCGUUAUCCGGAAUUAUUGGGUGUACAGGGUGCGUACACGGAGAUGCAAGUCGGCUGUGACAUCCCUCGGCUCAACUGAGGAACUGCAACCAANACUACAUCCCUUGAGUGUCGAGGGGAACGUGGAAUUCCUAGUGUAGCGGUGAAAUGCGUAGAUAUAGGAGGGAACACCGGUGGCGAAGGCGACUUUCUGGACGAUAACUGACGUGAGGGCACGAAAGUGUGGNGAGCANACAGGAUUAGAUACCCUGGUAGUCCACACUGUAAACGAUGGAUACUAGGUGUAGGGUGUAUUAAGCACUCUGUGCCGCCGCAAACGCAUUAAGUAUCCCACCUGGGGAGUACGACCGCAAGGUUGAAACUCAAAGGAAUUGACGGGGGCCCGCACAAGCAGUGGAGUAUGUGGUUUAAUUCGAAGCAACGCGAAGAACCUUGCCAGGGCUUGACAUAUACAGGAAUAACUUAGAGAUAGGUUAGCUCUUCGGAGCCUGUAUACAGGUGGUGCAUGGUUGUCGUCAGCUCGUGUCGUGAGAUGUUGGGUUAAGUCCCGCAACGAGCGCAACCCCUAUCGUUAGUUGCUAGCAGGUAAUGCUGAGAACUCUAGCGAGACUGCCGGUGAUAAAUCGGAGGAAGGUGGGGAUGACGUCAAAUCAUCAUGCCCUUUAUGUCCUGGGCUACACACGUACUACAAUGGCCGUAACAGAGGGAAGCAAUAUAGUGAUAUGGAGCAAAACCCUAAAAGCGGUCUCAGUUCGGAUUGAAGGCUGAAAUUCGCCUUCAUGAAGCUGGAAUUGCUAGUAAUGGCAGGUCAGCAUACUGCCGUGAAUAAGUUC
rnacentral:rRNA from 1 species